AUUGAACGCUGGCGGCAGGCCUAACACAUGCAAGUCGAGCGGGGUUUUCGGACCUAGCGGCGGACGGGUGAGUAAUGCGUAGGAAGCUACCCGAUAGAGGGGGAUACCAGUUGGAAACGACUGUUAAUACCGCAUAAUGUCUACGGACCAAAGUGUGGGACCUUCGGGCCACAUGCUAUCGGAUGCGCCUACGGGGGAUUAGCUAGUUGGUGGGGUAAUGGCUCACCAAGGCGACGAUCCCUAGCUGGUUUGAGAGGAUGAUCAGCCACACUGGAACUGAGACACGGUCCAGACUCCUACGGGAGGCAGCAGUGGGGAAUAUUGGACAAUGGGCGCAAGCCUGAUCCAGCCAUGCCGCGUGUGUG
rnacentral:rRNA from 1 species